AGAGCACCUAUUAUGGGAUACACGUUUUUAAACAUCCUUUUGUGUGUAAGUGUGCAUUAGUACAUGCUAACGAUAUUCAAAAAGUACAUACCUCAAAGAAAACGAUGACGCGAGUUAUCGUCUCUAACGUUCGAGGACUACAAAAAACACUCGGAUUGUAGGCAACAGUUUACUUCCUGGGAUUAGUGACGUAGAUAAGACCAACAUUAUCAUAGUUCAGCCCUCUCUGCUUUGCUUGGGUACGCCCUCAAAGACGAGGGUGGGGUGGGGAGCGCCGAGUCAGAAGAGAGCUAAAAUGGCGGAGGUUGUGAGUCCCUGCUUUGACUCUGUUUGCAAACUCCUGUUUCAUUGUUUAAGCGAUUAAAUCUCUCGAGUAGACGCUGUCUCUUUAGAUGCGAGGGCAAAAUAGCACUUUAUGGACUUCCACAGAGGACAUCAUGUUUAAUACGGUUCCGGAAAAAUCCAGUCAGAAGUUGUUCACGGAGUUUUCACAAUAACUGCUUCUCAUGAACCGAAGCUGGAUUUGCGCGACGUCUCCUCUUGAAAGUUGGAUUACUGUGCACUUCUGGAUCACAGACUGUAAGUAUUCAUGUUUAUUAUUUGCCUUUUACUGUACGUUACGUAACCGGUAACCGGAGAUUAACAUAAUGUGCGUGUAGAGCUAAGCUUGCAAGCUAAUUGUUUUGUGUUGUAAUACUGUAUUUCAUAAACAACGUACCAUAUUUACACACGUGUAUGUUGAAUUAUGCAGGCUUUCGUUUUUUUUAUCGAUGUUGGUUUAGACAUGUUUACAAACUUGCUAAGUUGCUAAGAUAAAUACAAAUACAAAUGCCAGCUAAACUGUUACCGGUAAAAUUUGUUCUCAUGAUCAAACUCAAGAAACUCUAAGUACAGAUGAUUUGUUUAAAGUUAUAUGUAUUUUACUGUUGUAUUUACUUGAAGCUUUCUUAGAUUUUGAAACGAAGUAAACACGUAAUGUGUGUUGCUAAUGUUGGGCCAUGUAAUAUGUAAUACAUUUACGUUUUAAUGAAUAGUCUAACGAUUUAUAGUCGUUGUACUCUAUUGUUAUAAUAUUUCUUUUUGACUGAAUACAUGUUUGUUUUAUUUGUCUAUAUCCUAGAUUCGCAGCUGUACACAUCCUUCUACACUGUAUGCAAACAUGCAACAUCAUUACACACAGUACAAGGAGUCAGACUGGCAUAUGAGGAGCAAAGGAACCCAGGCAGUAGCAUCGUUUCACAAUGUUUCCAUCAUCAUCAUCAGUGGAUGCCUUUGCCGUCCGUAGCCUGAGAUUUCAGAUUUGCAGCAAAAAAAAUUGAUUUUCUCAUUUAUUGGAAUGCUGUGCAGGUAUUUGUACCUUGCAGCCAUCCAUUACAAUGUCACCAAGCCGUAACAAAAGCAGGAGAGGGAAAGUACAAGGCUAUGUUCCCAAAACACACAAAUGACAUACCUUAUGUGGAGGAUGUGAUCAGGCUUGUGUUUGAUGAGGUAUUUGAAGAUAAGCUGAAGGAAACCCCGAUUCCAAAGGACCUGGCAUCACAGUUUGAGAGACCUUCAAAGGAGGACGUGAUUGCAUGCCAUCUUCAGUGCAGGGGUCGUCGAAAGCCAAAAUUGUGACCGAUCUGAUCAGGAAGCUCCAAGCGUAUCUGGAGAACAACACACGACAGGAUGAUAACCUUAUAGUGUCGUCUUAGAUAGCACCAGCUGACAAAGCUUUGAUAUGCCAUUUAUCUGAAUAGAUAGCUGUAAGAAAUGAAUUGAACAAUUUUUGAAACAAGAGCACAAUAUGGUUACUAA